GUGACAGCCGCCGCGGUAAUACGAGAGGUGCAAGCGUUGUUCGGAAUUAUUGGGCGUAAAGCGCACGUAGGCGGGUUCGUAUGUCGAUUGUGAAAGCCCCGGGCUCAACCUGGGAAUUGCAGUCGAAACUGCGAAUCUUGAAUACCUGAGAGGGUGGGAGAAUUCCUGGUGGAGUAGUGAAAUACGUAGAGAUCAGGAGGAAUACCGGAGGCGAAGGCGCCUGCCUGGCAGUGUAUUGACGCUGAGGUGCGAAAGCGUGGGGAGCAAACAGGAUUAGAAACCCGAGUAGUCC
rnacentral:rRNA from 1 species